rnacentral:rRNA from 1 species
GAUGAACGCUGGCGGCGUGCCUAACACAUGCAAGUCGAGCGAGAUAAAUGUGAGUGGAGACUUCGGUCAAAGCGAUCAUUUUGAAAGCAGCGGACGGAUGAGUAACGCGUGAGCAAUCUGCCCCAUACAAAGGGAUACCCACUGGAAACGGUGAUUAAUACCUUAUAAGACCACGAAGUCGCCUGGCUUAGUGGCCAAAGAUUUAUCGGUAUGGGAUGAGCUCGCGUCUGAUUAGCUAGUUGGUGAGGUAAUGGCUCACCAAGGCGACGAUCAGUAGCCGACCCGAGAGGGUGAACGGCCACACUGGAACUGAGACACGGUCCAGACUCCUACGGGAGGCAGCAGUGGGGAAUAUUGCACAAUGGGCGCAAGCCUGAUGCAGCAACGCCGCGUGAAUGAUGAAGGCCUUCGGGUCGUAAAGUUCUGUCCUAAGGGAAGAAUACAGUGACGGUACCUUAGGAGGAAGCCCCGGCUAACUACGUGCCAGCCGCCGCCGUAA